rnacentral:misc_RNA from 1 species
AAGACUAUAGACCUGCGGAGUACCUGCGGAGGGAUCAUUAUAGAUAAGUUUUACAAAAGUUGUGGGGGGGGAUUAUCAGGGGAGGGAGAAGAAUACUCUGCAGUUUUUUCUCUCUUGAUAAUUUCCUGCUUCUUCAAACAAAUUAUCACAACUAUAGAAAGAAGGAUUGGUUGAUUUUUUUGUGAGGAGGGGAAAAAAGUGGUUGCCUGAUAUCUAAGCUUGUUAUUUUAUAUGAGGGGA